rnacentral:rRNA from 1 species
UACGUAGGGUGCGAGCGUUGUCCGGAAUUAUUGGGCGUAAAGAGCUCGUAGGUGGUUUGUUACGUCCGCUGUGAAAUCCUAGGGCUUAACCCUGGGCUUGCAGUGGAUACGGGCAGACUAGAGGUAGGUAGGGGGAGAACGGAAUUCCUGGUGUAGCGGUGAAAUUCGUAGAUAUCGGGGAGGAACACCGGUGGCGAAGGCGGCGUCUGGGGUCGAUACUGACGCUGAGGGUGCGAAAAGCGUGGGGGGAGCAAAACAG